UACGGAGGGUGCAAGCGUUAAUCGGAAUUACUGGGCGUAAAGCGUGCGCAGGCGGUUUGUUAAGUCUGUUGUGAAAUCCCCGAGCUCAACUUGGGAAUUGCAAUGGAUACUGGCAGGCUGGAGUAUGGUAGAGGAAGGUGGAAUUCCCGGUGUAGCAGUGAAAUGCGUAGAGAUCGGGAGGAACACCAGUGGCGAAGGCGGCCUUCUGGACCAAUACUGACGCUCAUGCACGAAAGCGUGGGGGGCAAACAGG
rnacentral:rRNA from 1 species